UACGAAGGGGGCUAGCGUUGUUCGGAAUUACUGGGCGUAAAGCGCGCGCAGGCGGUCCUUCAAGUCAGAGGUGAAAGCCCAGAGCUCAACUCUGGAACGGCCUUUGAGACUAGAGGACUUGGGUACGGGAGAGGUGAGUGGAAUUCCGAGUGUAGAGGUGAAAUUCGUAGAUAUUCGGAGGAACACCAGUGGCGAAGGCGGCUCACUGGUCCAUUACUGACGCUGAGGUGCGAAAGCGUGGGGAGCAAACAGG
rnacentral:rRNA from 1 species